rnacentral:rRNA from 1 species
AAGCUUUUUGUGGUUUUGGAUGGACUCGCGGCCUAUCAGCUUGUUGGUGAGGUAAUGGCUUACCAAGGCGACGACGGGUAGCCGGCCUGAGAGGGUGACCGGCCACACUGGGACUGAGACACGGCCCAGACUCCUACGGGAGGCAGCAGUGGGGAAUAUUGCACAAUGGGCGAAAGCCUGAUGCAGCGACGCCGCGUGAGGGAUGACGGCUUCGGGUUGUAAACCUCUUUCAGUAGGGAAGAAGCGAAAGUGACGGUACCUGCAGAAGAAGCGCCGGCUAACUACGUGCCAGCAGCCGCGGUAAUACGUAGGGCGCAAAGCGUUAUCCGGAAUUAUUGGGCGUAAGAGCUCGUAGGCGGUUUUGUCGCGUCUGCCGUGAAAGUCCGGGGCUCAACUCCGGAUCUGCGGUGGGUACGGGCAGACUAGAGUGAUGUAGGGGAGACUGGAAUUCCUGGUGUAGCGGUGAAAUGCGCAGAUAUCAGGAGGAACACCGAUGGCGAAGGCAGGUCUCUGGGCAUUAACUGACGCUGAGGAGCGAAAGCAUGGGGAGCGAACAGGAUUAGAUACCCUGGUAGUCCAUGCCGUAAACGUUGGGCACUAGGUGUGGGGGACAUUCCACGUUUUCCGCGCCGUAGCUAACGCAUUAAGUGCCCCGCCUGGGGAGUACGGCCGCAAGGCUAAAACUCAAAGGAAUUGACGGGGGCCCGCACAAGCGGCGGAGCAUGCGGAUUAAUUCGAUGCAACGCAACCUUACCAAGGCUUGACAUGGACUGGAAAUACCUGGAAACAGGUGCCCCGCUUGCGGUCGGUUCACAGGUGGUGCAUGGUUGUCGUCAGCUCGUGUCGUGAGAUGUUGGGUUAAGUCCCGCAACGAGCGCAACCCUCGUUCUAUGUUGCCAGCGCGUGAUGGCGGGGACUCAUAGGAGACUGCCGGGGUCAACUCGGAGGAAGGUGGGGACGACGUCAAAUCAUCAUGCCCCUUAUGUCUUGGGCUUCACGCAUGCUACAAUGGCCGGUACAAAGGGUUGCGAUACUGUGAGGUGGAGCUAAUCCCAAAAAGCCGGUCUCAGUUCGGAUUGGGGUCUGCAACUCGACCCCAUGAAGUCGGAGUCGCUAGUAAUCGCAGAUCAGCAACGCUGCGGUGAAUACGUUCCCGGGCCUUGUACACACCGCCCGUCAAGUCACGAAAGUUGGUAACACCCGAAGCCGGUGGCCUUCCCCUUAUGGGGAGGGAGCUGUCGAAGGUGGGACUGGCGAUU